UACGUAGGGUGCGAGCGUUGCCCGGAAUUACUGGGCGUAAAGCGCGUGUAGGCGGUUAUGCAAGUCGGGUGUGAAAGCCCGGAGCUCAACUCCGGAAGUGCAUUCGAUACUGCGUAGCUAGAGUACUGGAGAGGAUGGUGGAACUCUCGGUGUAGAGGUGAAAUUCGUAGAUAUCGAGAAGAACACCGGUGGCGAAGGCGGCCAUCUGGACAGAUACUGACGCUGAGACGCGAAAGCGUGGGGAGCAAACAGG
rnacentral:rRNA from 1 species